CAGUCGCCACGGUAAUACGAAGGGGGCUAGCGUUGCUCGGAAUGGCUGGGCGUAAAGGGCUCGCAGGCGGUUUCUUAAGUCUGAUGUGAAAGCCCCCGGCUCAACCGGGGAGGGUCAUUGGAAACUGGGAAACUUGAGUGCAGGAGAGGAGAGUGGAAUUCCACGUGUAGCGGUGAAAUGCGUAGAGAUGUGGAGGAACACCAGUGUCGAAGGCGACUCUCUGGUCCGUAACUGACGCUGAGGAGCGAAAGCGUGGGGAGCGAACAGGAUUAGAUACCCCAGUAGUCCCUGUCUCUUAUAA
rnacentral:rRNA from 1 species